UAAAACCUAUUUAAAAUGGCGGCAUUUCAUCUUAUUAGAGGAAUCUGUUUUUUAAUCGAUAAUCCACGUUAAUUUUUGCUUUAAUCGAAAAUUUAUAUACCGCCAUCUAAAGAGUUAAUUUUUCAAUAUUAUUCUAAAUAAAAAAUAAAAAGUUAGGUCAAGGUGUAAUCCAUAUUAAAGAAAAUAAUGGAUUACAAUAAAAAUCAAUUAAGGAUAAUCUUAUUAAAAUAAUUUUUGAAAAAGAAUUUAAAAGUAAUAUUUUAAUAUAAUUAUUGUAUG
rnacentral:rRNA from 1 species